GAAGCAGGAAAAUACCAGACGAGUUAAGCUGAAACAAAUCUCACCUUACCUGAAGAAAAAGACCCCUUACCGGAUGCAAAAUCUGCCCAACAGGCAGAAUGGAGAUUGGAGGACCCUGAGAUCAUGACCUGAGCUGAAAUCAAGAGUCAGAUGCUUAACUGACAGAGCCACCCAAAUACCCCUUUUGAGAUUUUAUUUUAAAGUGAUCUCUACACCCAACGUGGGGCUUGAACUUAUAACCUUGAGAUCUGACUGAGCCAGCCAGACACACUUAUAAAGGAUUUUUGAUUAUUAACUCUCUUUAAAAGAUAUUCAAGUGCUUAAACAAAAAUAAUAACAAUGUAUUAUUGGGCUUAUAAUAUGAAAAAGUAAAAUGUAUUAAAGCAAUAACUUAAAAUCAGGCAGGGCAGAAAUUGACGUAUAUGGUUUAUAAGUCUCUUAAAUUAUACAUGAAAUGGUAUAAUAUCGCUUGAAAGUAGACUGUAAUAAAUUAAAGAUGUAUACUGUAAAUCCUAAAGCAACCCAAAAUAACAGAGCAGAGUAACAACUGAUGAGCUAAAAAAAAAGAGAUAAAAUGGAAUCAUAAAAGAGAUUCAAUUAGCCCAAAAUACAGAAAAAGAGGGACAAGACAAGAAAGAACAGAUGUGAGCAAAAUGAUAGAUUAAACCCUAAUCAUAUCAACAAUCCCAUUAAAUGCAAAUGAUUUAAACACCCAAUUUCAAAGGCAGAGACUGUCAAAUUGGAUGAAAAGCAAAGCCCAGUUAUAAGUUGUUCACAAGAAACACACUUUAAAUUUAAGGCACAAAUAGAUUAAGUAUGCAAGUAUGGAAAAAGCUAUCCCGUGCUAAAAGGCCAGUCCAAGGAAAGCUGCAGUGUCUAUAUUAAUACCAAGGAUACCGAAGAAUAUUACCAGAAAUAGAGAAAGUCAUUUCUUCUUCCCAUUAUUUUAAAGGGGAUAAUUAGUCAAAAGGGCCCCCAACCUGUAAAUAUUUAUGACCUUAAUAACAGAGCUUCAGAAUAUAUGAACUGGAAAUGGAAAGAACUUCAAGAAGAAAUAGCAAAUCCACAAUUAUAGUGGAAAAUUUCCAUAGCCACUUCUCAAAGUUAGUGGAAGAAGUAGACAGAAAGUCAACAAAGAAAUUAUAGACAAACAGCACUAUCAAUCAUCAGGACCUGAUUAACACAGAACAUUCUGCUCUAUGACGGCAUAAUGUUUAAUAUUAUUAGCUAUUGAGGAAAUGAAAUUAGUACCACAAUGAGAUGUCACUGCACACCUAUUAGAAUGUCUCAGAUUAAGAAGAUUGACCCUACCAAGCUUUGGUGAGGAUGUGGAAAAAUGAAAUUCUGUAUACUAUGGGGGUGGGAAUAUAAAAUGAUACAGUUUUGGAAAAAACUUGGGCAGUUUUGUUCUCUUUAUUGUUAGUGACAUCCAGUGCUAUAUUAGUUUUGGUUGUACAGCACAAUUGUUUGACAAUUCUUCUAUACAUUACCCAACGGUCACCAUGGUGAGUAUAGUCAUCAUCUGUCAUCAUACAAUGUUUUUACAAUAUUAUUGACUAUACUCCCUGGGCUGUACUUUUCAUCUCCAUGACUUCUGUAUUUUUGUAACUGGAAAGUUGUACCUUUUAAUCCUCUCCACCGAUUUUGCCCGUCCCACCAACCCCUCUUCUCUGGUAACCAUCAUUUUAUUUUAUGAUCCUGUUUCUGUUUGUUCACUGAUUUUGUUUUUUUUUAGAUUCCACAUACAAGAGAAAUUGUAUGGUA